UAAGUGACUUGCACUGGUGUGCAAAUCACUUAUUCUGAAGUCAAUCCCUAGGAUUGUAUUGAUGCAAAACAAUGCACAGUAGACAGGCCUAAAUGACCAAUGAUUGGGGGCAGGCAGUCAUUAAUUUCACCCAAGAGAAGCUUUUACAGGAUGUCCUUUUCUUUCCAUUUAUUAUUUAGGUAAACUUCACACACAGCUGAGUAAGAGUAUUUUUUUUGUUUCUCUCUAAUGAAGCCUUUUCAGUGAUAAUGAAUCCUGUUGAUACUGAAUUUGUCUAGCUUAAUU